rnacentral:rRNA from 1 species
GCAUAUCAAUAAGCGGAGGAAAAGAAACUAACAAGGAUUCCCCUAGUAACGGCGAGUGAACCGGGAAGAGCUCAAAUUUGAAAUCUGGCGUGCUCAGUGCGUCCGAGUUGUAAUCUAUAGAGGCGUUUUCCGUGCCGGACUGUGUCCAAGUCCCUUGGAACAGGGUAUCAAAGAGGGUGAUAAUCCCGUACUUGACACAAUGACCGGUGCUCUGUGAUACGUCUUCUACGAGUCGAGUUGUUUGGGAAUGCAGCUCAAAAUGGGUGGUGAGUUCCAUCUAAAGCUAAAUAUUGGCGAGAGACCGAUAGCGAACAAGUACCGUGAGGGAAAGAUGAAAAGCACUUUGGAAAGAGAGUUAAACAGUACGUGAAAUUGUUGAAAGGGAAACGAUUGAAGUCAGUCGUGACUGAGAGGCUCAGCCGGUUCUGCCGGUGUAUUCCCCUCAGUCGGGUCAACAUCAGUUUUGUUCGGUGGAUAAGGGCAGUUGGAAGGUGGCACCCUCGGGUGUGUUAUAGCCAGCUGUCGCAUACAUCGGAUGAGACUGAGGAAUGCAGCUCGC